rnacentral:rRNA from 1 species
AUUGAACGCUGGCGGCAGGCCUAACACAUGCAAGUCGAACGCGUCGCGGACCUUUGACUAAUUUCUCGGAACCUCCCUAAUUGCGGGGGACAACUACUCGAAACUGUCGCUAAUACCGCAUACCAUCAGAUGUCCCCAUAUGGGGUUAGCUAGUUGGUGGGGUAAAGGCUCACCAAGGCGACGAUCCCGAGCUGGUCUGAGAGGAUGACCAGCAACACUGGAACUGAGACACGGUCCAGACUCCUACGGGAGGCAGCAGUGGGGAAUAUUGGACAAUGGGGGAAACCCUGAUGCAGCCAUGCCGCGAGUAUGAAGAAGGCCUUCGGGUUGUAAAGUACUUUCAGCAGGGAAGCGGAAGGCGAAGAAGAAGCACCGGCUAACUACGUGCCAGCAGCCGCGGUAAUAG